ACGAGCUCCAAGUGAGCGCGGCCGCCCCGCCGCCCGCCCCCAAAGGCUCUUUUCAGAGCCACCCACUCUUUCUAAACAGAGCUGGCACGGAAUUUGUCUCAGAAGUGAAGCUCUUGAUAUCAUUCAGUCUUCUCAUUAGAAUGCGGGAAGCCUCAGAUGGGACUGUGAGGGACUGUGAGAAUAAACAGCAAGAAAGGGCUGACAGCUCAGCAAGCAAAGGACAGAGCUUUUUCAAAGGUAUCGAUGCAGUUGUUGCUAGUAAUGACCGCGCUGUGCAGUACCGCACCAGACCUUCUUCCUCUCGUGACGGAGCACCUGUUUGCCAACCUUUCCCCCGCCUUUGGCUCCACACCUUUGUUCUGUCCAGGCAGACCAAGCAAGUCUUCCUUUGUAACUGGACCUGCACAGCAGCCCAGCCUAAUUUCCCUCUCUGGAGGCAGCUGCCCUGGAAAGGCCCUGGGAAGGGUGGCCUGUAUAGCAGCUUGCAGGAGAGUCCAUGA
rnacentral:lncRNA from 1 species